AUGCGUGUAGGUGCUGCUGCUCCAGGAAGGCCUCCUUGUGCGGACAGGAUCACGGCGCUGGAGCAAACCGUUAGAGAGUUUGCGGAUCAUCCAAGAGACAUAGUUAUGGUGCCAAAGAUUGGAACAAGUUUUGACACCCUCGUAGAAGCAUACGACUUUUACAAUUUAUACUCAUGGGAGAAAGGGUUUGGAAUUCGCUACGGAAAGAGUAGGCUGAACGUGAACAGGAGCAAGUGUAUGCAAGAGAUCGUGUGUGGAUGCGCGGGGAAGCCAAUCAUUGAGAAUACUCGUUCGUGCCGGUGUGAAUGCCCAUCCCUCAUCAGACUACUGAGAACAAAAGACAAUGGAUGGUACAUAGCAGAGCAUCGAGAUGGACACAACCAUGCAUUGUCACAAACAUAUGGCCAGACAAUACACUGGCCGUCACACAAGCAUAUUGACGUUUACAGCAAGGAUUUAGUGAAGCAGUUGAGGCAGAACAAUGUCAAUUUGUCAAAAGUCUACAACAUUAUUGGCAGCUUUUUUGGAAAGAUGGAGAAUGUGCCAUUUACCAAAAGAGCUCUGCGGAAUUUGUGUGGCAAGAUAAGCCGGGAGCAAGCAGAAGAUGAUGUUAGGAAAACAAUGGAAGUGUUUCAUGAUCUGUGCUCAAAGGAUCCACAAUUCACGUAUCGAGUUCAGGCGGACAAAGAGGGCAGGAUCAGCAACUUGAUGUGGGCUACAGGGAACAGUAGGCUCCAGUACAACUUCUUUGGGGAUGUCAUUACAUUUGACACAACCUAUAGGACCAACCUGUAUGACAUGCCAUUUGGGUUAUUUGUUGGAGUGAACAACCAUUUCCAGAGUAUCAUACUAGCUGGUGUGCUAGUUCGGCAUGAGACAGAGGAAACAUUUGAGUGGGUCUUCUCAGAGUUUGUUAGGAUAAUGGGGGGGAGGGCGCCACAAACAAUACUUACCGAUCAAAACAGGGCGAUGGAGGUUGCCAUAAGUAAUGUCAUGCCAAACACGGCUCACCGGUGGUGCAAGUGGCAUGUGCUAAAGAAGAUACGGCACAAAUGGGCAAAGCCCUACUUCAAGGGGGUGUUCUGUGCAAAAAUGACCAGUACACAACGGAGUGAAAGCGCAAAUCACAUGCUAAAGAACUACGUGCCGCCUGGUUGCCCUAUGCAUGUUUUUGUGAGGAAGUAUAUGAGUUUAAUUUUUGACCAUGAGUCAGAAGAAAAUUAUGAGGAAAAGCGGACAACAAUUGGGAGGCCACUUAUGCGAGCAAAUAUGGCAACUGAGAGACACGCUGGGAAGAUUUACACAAGAGCUAUGUUCGAGCAGUUUGGCCAUAUACUGUAUGAGUGUGGUGCAUAUCAGGUAGAAGAAAAAGAAAAAGGGAAAGAGUAUAUCGCAAUACAUACAGAUGCUGCACGGCGGGAGAAGUGGUGCAGAACCUCAUACAAGGUGACGGUGAUUGAAGGUGGAGAUGAAUUUGAUUGCGAGUGCGGACAGUUUGCCCACAUGGGGCUGUUGUGUAGCCAUAUACUGAAGGUAAUGGACUUCAUUCGUGUGACAGAAAUCCCAAAGAAGCACAUUGUGAAAAGGUGGACACGAGAUGCGAGAGAUGUGCUUCCAGCCCACCUGAUGCAGUAC
rnacentral:rRNA from 1 species